GGAAAGGCAGUUUGACGAAUUGGUGAUUACAACUCCAAAGCUAACUUCUCUCCGUGCUUCAUUCAACACCAUCUACUAUCCAAAUGGUAUACAUGUAAUAGGCACACCUUCCUUUGUCAAGGCAUCAAUAUGCGUGACUUCAUUAUACAGGAUCAAUAACAUAUUUUGGGAGAAGUUAUGCAAUAUAUUCAACGUAAGGCAUCUAGAAUUGUUUGGUGCCGAGAUGAUGGAAAAUCUACGCCAACUGUCAAAUUAUCUCCCACAGUUGCAUAAUGUGAGAACCUUGUUAAUCGAUCGAUGCAACCUCAAAACAAACAAAGACAUUCAAACAUUGGAUCGCUUUCUACAAAGUGUCCCUGGCUUGGAAAAGCUCACUUUGCAGAACUGUGAGUUUUCAGAUCGCUCAAAGAGGAGGACUGCAAGGGCCAAGUGGCGAAAUCUAGCCCUCGAAAGCCAGAAUCUUAUGUCUUUCAAGUGUGAUAAUUUGGAGGUGAUUGAAAUCAAGCAUAGCAAAGAUGAAAACAUCGAUGAAAUCUUUGAGCUUCUUAUGGGAAUUUGGAAGAACGUGGGAAAGACCAGUAUCAAACUUACCAAAGUUUAACGAGCUCGCCACAUCCAUAUUAGCAACAUAUUGUUCGCUUGAUGCCUUGUUAUAAAUUUAUGCUCCCACUUUUGCUUCAAUGUGCUCCUCCCCUCCCAACUUUGAUGGUGCGUUUGGUUGAUGGACUACAUGUAUGGGACGGGAUGGUCCACAUUUUGUGGAUGGGAUGAUCCAUAUUCGAAUGAACCCAUGUGUUGUUUGGUUCCAAGGAUUUGAGAAUGGUAUACAAUCUGUUUAACUUACAAA